GGUGGAUACUGUUGAAAGAAUUUUGUUUCGAUUCUUUACUUUUCCGAUUCAGUAAACGGAAUUUAACAUGUGAUUGAGAUAGAAAAAGAAAUUUUUUUUGAACACGAUACCAACCUUAAAUUACUUACUAAUAAUGGUAGUGGAAAAAGUGUGUUAUCCCACAUCCCAAGUGUGCUCCUAAGGAACUCCAGCAGCCCCAGCAGCAGGCGACUACGACCCAGAUGUGAAUCCGGACGUUUUUUGCUCUCUCGUUCUCGGAACACUGAUCUAACGGAAUACAGGAGCUCAGCUAACCCACAGCCAGUGUAUCUGUUCUAAUAAUAUAUGUAUAUUUUGGGAAAAGAUUUCCACUCAAUCAAAUAGGUAGUCACUAUGAAGUCUGCUAUGAAACGGAAAUCCUGUUUGGUCUUUGCGGCAACCAAGAAUAUCCCGAAUGCAUACUACUGGUUCAACGGUUGUUGGAGCCGGACGGUUGAAACUAAACGGGUUAGCGCGAGUACGUCGGUUGAUUAUAUUUUAUAUCAUUGCUUCGCUGGAAGGACAAACAUUCGAGGGGACAGCACAAGUAUUUUCAAUAGAAACCAAGUAUUGGACAACCAAAAUAAUCAAUUGAAGAGAAUGCCUGACCAGCGGUCUGACCUAAAUCCGAUCCAUUGUCAUCUGUUGCCAGUUACGGAGUAUUUUCACAAGGAGUUUUGAAAUUCGUUACCCUAUGCUUCGAAUGCUACCCGAUAUGCCGAAUAUGUAUAUUGUUAAUACCCGAUGCUGCUAUUGAUGUGUUUCUUCUCCGACCAUCAUGACUCGGUUCCAACAAAAGGCACCCACAAAUUGCACUGAGGAUUAUGUUGUUGAUCAUAUGUUACUUAUCAGUGUUCAGGUGAUCAGAAUUUGAAAGAACUUUAGCUUCGCUUUGCUGUAUAGGACCGUCCCCUGCCACCAUAUUCCAUCAUGUUUGUGUAAUUAACGAUGAU